rnacentral:misc_RNA from 1 species
GAUGAAGAACGUAGCGAAAUGCGAUAAGUAGUGUGAAUUGCAGAAUUCAGUGAAUCAUCGAAUCUUUGAACGCACAUUGCGCCCCUUGGUAUUCCAUGGGGCAUGCCUGUUCGAGCGUCAUUUGUACCUUCAAGCUCUGCUUGGCGUUGGGUGUUUGUCUCGCCUCUGCGCGCAGACUCGCCUCAAAACGAUUGGCAGCCGGCGUAUUGAUUUCGGAGCGCAGUACAUCUCGCGCUUUGACAACAAAACGACGACGUCCAAAAAGUACAUUUUUUACACUCUUGACCUCGGAUCAGGUAGGGAUACCCGCUGAACUUAAGCAUAUCAAUAAGCGGAGGA